rnacentral:tRNA from 1 species
GCCGAAGUGGCGGAAUCGGCAGACGCGCGCGACUCAAAAUCGCGUGGGGCAGCCCCCCAUGAGGGUUCGACUCCCUCCUUCGGCACCA